AUACUUACCUGGACGGGGUCAAUGAGUGAUCAGGAAGACUCAUGGCCUAGAGCAGUGACCUCCAUUGCACUUGGGAGGGGUGUUGCUUUAAGGUCUCCCCAAGAGGGAGAGCCUACGUCAUAAUUUGUGGCAGUGGGGGCUUGCGUUCGCGCAGCCCCUAU
rfam:Gossypium arboreum cultivar AKA8401 contig_49779_1, whole genome shotgun sequence.